UGGCAGAACUGCACAGGAGGAGAUGUGCCACCAAAUUGUUACACGGAAGCCCACCCACCUAACACCCAAUUGGACUGUGAGGUUGAGCAAACUAGAGAGUGCAGUCUUCAGAGUAAGUACCCUUGCUGCAUGGCGUGGUCAAAGAUGGUGCUCUUCAUGGGACUGACAACACUCCUACUGCUUACUGUGCCUUCACUGUCUGACGAACCUGAUCUGCUGUGAUCCUGGGCAGUCAUUCACCUGAUCCCACGAAACCAUGGUGAAAGAAAUACCGAUAAGAGGAACAGGUGAAGUCAGAACACUAUCACAUCCAUCACAGUCACAAGAUGGCAAAGACAUUGAUUCUGCUUUGAACCAAAGUUUAUGGCAUAUUAAUCGAAACUAGUGGGAAUGGCAGCUAAAAUAAAAGUUAACGGGAAUGAUCCGAGCUGACUUGACUUAUUGAAUCCAAUACAACCUUAUCUCAAAUCUCCUUGCUGAUAAACUUAGUGUUAACAAUUCUCUGAUACUACUGCUUAGCACGUUAGUAAGGGCACGGUACUCGCAAGAAGCUAAUCUCAUUUACUA
rnacentral:lncRNA from 1 species